ACUCCUACGGGAGGCAGCAGUGGGGAAUAUUGCACAAUGGGCGCAAGCCUGAUGCAGCCAUGCCGCGUGUAUGAAGAAGGCCUUCGGGUUGUAAAGUACUUUCAGCAGUGAGGAAGGUGGAGUCGUUAAUAGCGGCCUCAUUUGACGUUAGCUGCAGAAGAAAGCACCGGCUAACUCCGUGCCAGCAGCCGCGGUAAUACGGAGGGUGCGAGCGUUAAUCGGAAUUACUGGGCGUAAAAGCGCAUGCAGGUGGUUUGUUAAGUCAGAUGUGAAAGCCCGGGGCUCAACCUCGGAAUUGCAUUUGAAACUGGCAGACUAGAGUACUGUAGAGGGGGGUAGAAUUUCAGGUGUAGCGGUGAAAUGCGUAGAGAUCUGAAGGAAUACCGGUGGCGAAGGCGGCCCCCUGGACAGAUACUGACACUCAGAUGCGAAAGCGUGGGGAGCAAACAGGAUUAGAUACCCUGGUAGGAUAGCG
rnacentral:rRNA from 1 species